AUCUAUUUAAUAUGUUUUAGAAACACCCACCACAAAUGCCGGGAAAAACUGAAGAAGAAGUCAAAGACACAGCAGAAAAAGCCGCUGAUCUCAUGCAUACGAAAGAGGUACCUUCUUAAAAAUAUUUUUCUG